AUUUUGAACAUGUUCUUGAUUACAAAUUAUCAAAUUUGAACAGGUACUGGAGCCAUGUGGUGAAUUGCAGAAGUUGCAGUUUGGCCUAUAAGAGCCUCAAUGUGGUGGAAGUGGCGCUGCAGAUCAUAUCAGUUGCUGCAAUUGGGAUUUUUGCCGCAAUGAAGCAGGGUGCAGUUUCAGCUGUAACAAGAAAUUCAAUGGUUCUGAUGGCGGUACUUUCAUUUGCAUUGUCGCUGUUGUUAGCUCACUUCAUAUACAAAUACUUCCGAUAUCAUGACUACGAACAUGCCUUUCACUGAAAUGUGUUUCCUUAGUUAUUGAUGUGAUGAAAUAUCCAACAUUGUUGUGUGUGUGUAGUCAAGUUGUACUAAAACAUAGCUAGUAAUUAUUGGUAUCUAACAUAUUGCUAUAAAAACUGUUAUCCUUCUGUUAUGGAACCUGUGAAGGGAUGUAUGUUGACACUUUCUUAGUGACUCAAAUUCUUAUAUUCUUUGUUGGAUGAGGGCAGUUUUAGUCCUACCAGUACCUUUACUAAAUUUUACAAUUCUUGUCCUACAAGAAAAGAUUCACGCAGUUUUAGUCCCUUCUAAAAUCAAAUUUAGAAUUUUAUAGCAUGACAUGACAUGAGAUUAAAAUAAAUAUGAAUUUUUUAAAAGUCAAAAAGUUCAACUAAAAAAUGUGUCAAAAAAAAGUUCAACUAAAAAUAAUGAAUAUCUGUACUAAAAAUCAAAUUUUGAGUUUUUUUUUUUGUGAAUAAACAUUUUUUUUUUUGACAAGAGAAAACUUAAUUCAUAUCAUUGAUCAAAAUGUUCUCAAUACAACGAAGAAUCGACUCAAAAAUAUAGUGACCAGACAUGGAAUAUGCCGCUCGUGCUAAGGCGUGGGCGGCCAUAUUCGCUUGUCGCUUUACAAAUUUAACCUCAAAGUUGGACUUUGAUAAUAAUAAAGACUUAAUGCUAGAAAUCAACAACUAAACUCAGAUAUUCCUAUUUGGCUAGAAUCAUAUUUGCCGCUUUUUCUGAAAAUAAAGAAUUUAUCUUUUCAACAUCCCAUUGUUUUGAGUUAGGAGUCAUAAGUUGUUGAAUAGAUAAAUUGUACACACCAUAGUGGAGAGAUUAAAUGCUUAUAAUAUGAACUUAAUUGAGUAGCUAUAAUAUGAUCCUCUACAUCACGGCGGCCAGUUUUAUAAUGGUGUUAUAUCAUAUAAUUUUUUUGCAGAAAUCAUCGUUUCAGAAGAAAUUUGCUUUGAUCUUUAUUUGCAUUCCUGUUAGUCCUGGUAAUAGCAGACUGAUUUUGUGCUCUCCAAGAAAUUUCGGACUGUGAAUUGACAAAAUUGUACCGCGAUGGAUGUUUCAUCUGAGACUAAACUUGAUUCUAGAUUCAGAUUUAUAUCUUCUCCAUGUUGAGGUAAUUCCAUUUAUAAUUUACGAAUCAUUGUUGGAGAACAAUGUAGAAGUUUGAUUCAUCAAUUAAUGUUACAAUAUUAAUUUUGAUAGGAAAAAAAAAAUAAUGGAUGUUGGUCAAGAAAAUUGGCAUAAGGCCUGUUUUGUGCCAACAAAAGCAGAUGCUCUUGUGAUUGGUUUUAGAAAGUGGUUGAAGAAGUAUGCAGGUGGUCAAGUUGAUUGGAGAGGAAAAUAUAGCGGCGCUCUUCCUCCUACACCUCCUAGAGAACAGCUUUUGGACAGGUAACCUAAUCGAUAUGAAUCUCAAGUGUGUAUAUAUAUUGAACAUGAAUCUCAUCUUGAAUCCCAGUUCAUUAUGAUGAAUCUCGUUUUAUUAAUGACAAGAAUUUAUUGAGGUUCAUAUAUGAUAUAUCAACUUAAACUUUUGUUAUGUAAAAAAAAAAACUUAAAAUUUGUCACAGAUUUUUCCAUAAAAAUGUCCUAGUUUUCAUUGGUAAUGUAGUUUAUGAUUCAUAAGAAGAUUUGAUUAACGGUUAGAGAAAUAGGUCUUCUGAUUCACUAUUGGAAUAUUAAAUUGAUGACCAUGGUUUUAAGUGGAGAGCUUUAUUAUGUCAAGCUUAAACCAAGUUAUAGGUUCACCUAGUUUGCGUUUGCUUGUUUUUGUUUCCCCACACUUGUUUAUUUUAUGGGUUUGGUUUCGCCCCCCCAUCUUGUAUAUAUAUUUUUCCUUUUUAUAUAUAAAUACAUGAACACUUGGCAGGGGAUGGGAGCCUACGAGAGGUGCCAACCUCGUUGGGAUGUCUUCUAGGUUCUCCGAUGUCAUUAUGUUGUUAAUUCAUCAAAAAAAUGUCAAGCUUAAACCAAGAACUUUCAAAUAUAAAAUUCUAAAAAGAUCAAUGUUACAAAAUCAUUAAUUGCAAUGGGUAUUUGUACCAUGUUCUUGAUUACAAAUUAUCAAAUUUGAACAGGUACUGGAGUCAUGUGGUGAAUUGCAAGAGUUGCAGUUUGGCCUAUAAGAGCCUCCAUGUGGUGGAAGUGGCGUUGCAGAUCAUAUCAGUUGCUGCAAUUGGGAUUGUUGCCGCAGUGAAGCAGGGUGCAGUUUCAGCUGUAACAAGAAAUUCAAUGGUUGUGCUUGCGGUACUUUCAUUCGCAUUGUCGCGGUUGUUAGCUCACUUCAUAUACAAAUACUUACGUUAUCAUGACUACAACCACGCCUUUCACUGAAACAAAGCUGGUUAAUGGUUGUGUUUCCUUAGUUAAUGAUGUCCAACAUUAUUGUGUGUGUGUGUGUGUACUAAAACAAAGCUAGUAAUUAUUGGUGUGUGUACAUAAGUUGUACUAAAACAAAGCUAGUAAUUAUUGGUGUGGCUAAAAUAUGAGCAUAAUAACAGCAUGAAGAGAUGAGUUCAAUUAUUUGAAUUCCUGUAUAAAUACUGUUUUUCUUCUCUUGUGGAACCUGUGAAGGGAUGUAUGUUACUUUCAUAGUAACCCAAAUUCUUAUAUUCUUUGUAGGAUGAAUAAGGGCACUGCUACCUUUACUUAAUUUUAUAGUUUUUUGUCCUACAAGAAAA
rnacentral:lncRNA from 1 species